rnacentral:rRNA from 1 species
GCAUAUCAAUAAGCGGAGGAAAAGAAACCAACAGGGAUUGCCCUAGUAACGGCGAGUGAAGCGGCAACAGCUCAAAUUUGAAAUCUGGCGUCUUUGGCGUCCGAGUUGUAAUUUGCAGAGGGCGCUUUGGCAUUGGCAGCGGUCCAAGUUCCUUGGANACAGGACGUCACAGAGGGUGAGAAUCCCGUACGUGGUCGCUAGCCUUUACCGUGUAAAGCCCCUUCGACGAGUCGAGUUGUUUGGGAAUGCAGCUCUAAAUGGGAGGUAAAUUUCUUCUAAAGCUAAAUACUGGCCAGAGACCGAUAGCGCACAAGUAGAGUGAUCGAAAGAUGAAAAGCACUUUGGAAAGAGAGUUAAAAAGCACGUGAAAUUGUUGAAAGGGAAGCGCUUGCAGCCAGACUUGCCUGUAGUUGCUCAUCCGGGUUUUUACCCGGUGCACUCUUCUAUAGGCAGGCCAGCAUCAGUUUGGGCGGUUGGAUAAAGGUCUCUGUCAUGUACCUCUCUUCGGGGAGAACUUAUAGGGGAGACGACAUGCAACCAGCCUGGACUGAGGUCCGCGCAUCUGCU